rnacentral:rRNA from 1 species
UACGUAGGGUGCAAGCGUUAUCCGGAAUUAUUGGGCGUAAAGAGCUCGUAGGCGGUCUGUCGCGUCGGAUGUGAAAAUCCAGGGCUCAACCCUGGACCUGCAGUGGGUACGGGCAGACUAGAGUGCGGUAGGGGAGAUCGGAAUUCCUGGUGUAGCGGUGAAAUGCGCAGAUAUCAGGAGGAACACCGGUGGCGAAGGCGGAUCUCUGGGCCGUAACUGACGCUGAGGAGCGAAAGCAUGGGGAGCGAACAGG